rnacentral:lncRNA from 1 species
GUGUGUGUGUGUGUGUGUCUGUGUGUGUCUGUGUGUGUGUGUCUGUGCUCUGUUUAGGAUUGGGAUGCUGAAUAGGUUCAGGGCUUGCUGCACACAGCUGGGUUUGACCUGUCUGCAUCUAUUUGGACCUUGCAAAAGGAGAAGGCGAAGUCGUUCGCAAUGAAUCCAUGGCAGCUUCGAUCGAGCGGUGAGCUGGAGCACCUACUCACAGGCCACUCCUUCAUGUGACUGAACAGAGACCUUUCCCAGCAAUCGCCAAGGAGAGCAGAGCCCUGGAUUUACCUCCCGCGCAGCCGGGCACCCCCAGCGCAGGCACUGCGAGGUAAGGCAACCUCGGCACCUCUGUCUGUGUUUCUCUCCAUCCCGCCCGCCCUCCCUGCCUCUCG